CCUACGGGAGGCAGCAGUGGGGAAUAUUGCACAAUGGGCGGAAGCCUGAUGCAGCGACGCCGCGUGGGGGAUGAAGGCCUUCGGGUUGUAAACUCCUUUCGACAGGGACGAAGCUUUUGUGACGGUACCUGUAUAAGAAGCACCGGCUAACUACGUGCCAGCAGCCGCGGUAAUACGUAGGGUGCGAGCGUUGUCCGGAAUUACUGGGCGUAAAGAGCUCGUAGGUGGUUUGUCGCGUCGUCUGUGAAAUUCCGGGGCUUAACUCCGGGCGUGCAGGCGAUACGGGCUGACUUGAGUGCUGUAGGGGAGACUGGAAUUCCUGGUGUAGCGGUGAAAUGCGCAGAUAUCAGGAGGAACACCGAUGGCGAAGGCAGGUCUCUGGGCAGUAACUGACGCUGAGGAGCGAAAGCAUGGGUAGCGAACAGGAUUAGAUACCCCUGUAGU
rnacentral:rRNA from 1 species